CAUCAGCUGGCGCAGCCAGGACCGGCGCACAGUAUCGAGCGCUGGCGGUGCGGAUCGCGCCCGCUGUCGAUGA
rnacentral:tRNA from 1 species